CAGGGUGUAAUUGUCCGGACUUUGUAUGGCACGUCCCCUGACCGUGGAAACAAGAACAGUCUUUACAUCUGCUAAAUCUACAGGGGGUUAAUCUGUAGACAAUGCCGCCAUACAGUCACGCUGCCUAGAUUAUUGCUGUAUACAAGGAGGAAUGUCAAGCCUUUCACUGGACGACAACGCCUGGCGUGGAUCGAAGAGCCUUGAUUUGUAGAAAGCCUGCUAACUCAGCAAUAAUUAUCGCGGAAUAUACCAGAAGCUAGGGAAAGAACUCGGUGAAAACGUGUCAUGCACAUUUCAUGUCGUUAUUUCCAGUAUAUCAAGGAACGAACAGACACCGGUUUGAACUUCUCGCAGAUCAUUUUUAAAACAAAAAAUGAUUUAGUAACGUUUCUUUAGAAUGAUUGCGAUCUGACUAACAGACAGAGCGCUUGCGAUAAUGGCGCGCACAUGGUGUCGUCUGCCUUGUUCCUGCGCCAUCUUUGUUUUGUCCACAGUGAUCCUGUUCGUGGUGUUGGUGAUUGUGAGCACGGGAGGUAUACAGGGGUUUCAGGAGCCCCCUAGACAGACCUCUGUGCUGGACAAACUGGCAAAGCUUGGUCAGUCAGUCGGACUUCAGUCAGACUCAAUACGGAAAAUGGCGGAUUCGGCUUUCAAAUUUGUGGCCGGGAAGUUGGAAGAAACAUUUAACAUUACUAUACCUUUGAAAAACAACGUAACGUUAUCUUUAACGGAAUGAAAGUCGUAUUCGAUAAACCACAUUUUUCACAUCUGUUCCUGUAUAUAUAUACACAAUCAAAAUAAAUCUUGGUCUAAUCAAAA